rnacentral:lncRNA from 1 species
CGGGAGGACGGCGUCUCCAGGAGCCCCACUGACCGGCCGGCAAGGACUGCCAACACGAGUGACCGAGGGCCUGUCUAGUCUCCUUUACCCAGAAGAUGAGUAAAAGCUCCACCAUGAAGAACCCCAGAAGGGUGUCCUAUGAUGCUAAUGUGCUGAAGACGUUUUGGGAGAAAAAAAUCGAGCUUCACACGAAACAACUGCAGGAUGAGGACCGGAGGGUCCGCAGGAGUGCCCUGGACAGGUGAGCCUGGUGUGGGCAACCAGCGGAGGGGCACCUGGCCAGGGCCCACAGACCCCCCACCGGCUUCCUCCCCCGGGACCAGGGUCUUGGGAGGAGUGGGUAAAAGCACAGAACACCAACCACUUAAUCUCAGCUUCUGAACUGAAUCGUUGACUCACUGGUGAGAGAGGAACACCCCAUUCCUCUGCUCCUCACUCCUUCACCCACCCCAACUUCACCCACACCUCCUUCACCCCAUCCCUCCAUCAUCGCACCCGCCAUUGCCCCAUGCCUCCAUCACCCAUCCCUCUAUCUCUCCAUCACCCAUCCCUCCAUCACCCAUCCCUUCAUCACCCAUCCCUCCAUCUCUCUAUCACCCAUCCCUCCAUCAUCCAUCCCUCCAUCACCCAUUCCUCCAUCAUCCCAUCCCUCUGUCUCUCCAUUACCUAUCCCUCCAUCACCCAUCCCUUCAUCAUCCAUCCCUCUAUCACCCAUGCCUCCAUUACCCCAUCCCUCCAUCCCUCCAUCACCCAUCCCUCCAUCACCCCAUCCCUCCAUCCCUCCAUCACCCCAUCUCUCUAUCACCCAUCCCUUCAUCUCUGCUCCUCUGAGGGCUUUAUGGGAAGUUGUUGCCCAGGGCUUGUCUGGCUCAGCCUGGUUUUCUGACAUUCUCCCCCGCUGAAUGCAGGAUAAAUCCAUGUGUCCAUCCUGCUCCUUCCCUCACAUUUGCUUUCUUGCAGCUUCAAAGUUGAUGUCCUUUCCUUAACUGGGUGGAUGCCAGGGGCCUCUGGGAGCUGAGGGGGGUCUCCUGGGUGACUCUGAGCAGACCCAGGAGUCACAGCUCACGGGCAGCUAAGAGGGCAUAUUAGCACAUAAUUUGCACCUAGACAAGGACUCAAACGGCCAGAAACAUCCAAAGUGGUCACAGCCUUGGUCCCCAAAUAGCACCAGCAGCUGCUUGCCCUGGGAUCUGGCUUAGGAAGGAUUCUUGGCGGCUGAGGUGGGACCAGGCUUGGUACUGACCUUGCAAGUAGCCAGAGGUCUGGUUGUUGCACUGCCCCCACCCUGCUCAUCAUCCCGGACUCCUGCCUGUUCGGCACAAGUACAGGCCCUGGUGCCUCCUCUGCACAGCCCCGCAGAGCCAGACGCUGCACCCCAGGACCUCUCGGGGUAGGGGUACAGCACAGACUCUUCCAGGAAUGACUCCUCCCAGCCCUGGGCCCUCCUAGGUCUCUGUGGCCCCAUACCUGCCCUGCGUGGCCAAGGGGCCCUGGAAACUUCUCAGUCUUGGCCCAUGGGUGCAGGUCCCAGGAGUGGGCAUCAUCAGGUCAAUGAGAAUGCGGUCAACACUGGCCAGGUUAGGCGUAAGUUCUGAGCUGCUGGGGCACAGACUGGGGGUGACAUCCUCACUUCUCUGGGGAGAGGGAGCUGGCUGUGGCGCCUUGGAUCUACCUGCCCACUGGGCAGCGGCUCCUGAUCGCAUCCCCACAGCCAUCCACUGCCUGGGAAAGGGGCAGGAGAGGGCCGGUGCCCUGGAGUUGGGCUGCCCAGCCUCCCUACCCACUGAUGGGAGGUCCCCUCCAUCCAGGCCCCUAGCACAGGGACCCCACCCUCCCCCCUCCAAACCACCCACACAUUCAGCCAGGCCCACGGUGGCUUCCGGUUCUGAGGGAGCCUGUGCCCCUAGGCCAGGCCAUUCCUGCCUUGGUCACUGCAUGAGUCAAGCUGUGGUCAUCACAAGAUGCCACCUUCCGAGGAAGGGAGCACCCAGUGUGAGUGUUGGCCGCUCGGCGAGGCCAGCCCACACCGGCCGUGUCCAGACCUGAGGAGCACAGGUUCCUGCUGGGACUAGGCAUGCCCUGGGUCCUGCUUUCCAUCUCUGGGAAGAGCCUGAGCCAGACCCUCCUUGGCGAGUGGGGCUUGAAGCAUGAGCACCAGGUCACAGGGCCCUUGGGGACCCCACAUGUCCGGCAGGCAGCCUGAGGAGGGGGAAGCUGAGUUGCCCGCAGACAGGCAGCUGUCCCCCACCCUCACUGUUGCCUGGUCCAGGCUCCGCGGUGAGUGGGCUCGGAAGCUGGAAAGAAGGAACCAGAUGCUGCAGAGCAGCUGGGAGGCAGCCCCGCGGCCCCCCCUGCCCGGCACCCCCGGCCGCCACACCCAGGACCAGCUGGCAGCCUGAGGCCAGGACCUGCCUCCUCUGACGGCCCCGCAGUGGUCCUCCCAGCAGCCGGACCCCUUCACAGUUUUGUGUCUCUAGCAUGAUGCGAACACCCAAUAAAAUCCAAGAAAAG